GGAGAGAUGUCCGAGUGGCCGAAGGAGCACGCCUGGAAAGUGUGUAUACGGCAACGUAUCGAGGGUUCGAAUCCCUCUCUCUCCGCCA
rnacentral:tRNA from 1 species